UAAAGAAUAGUUUAAUAGGCAAAACGAAGAACUUUGACUUCUUUGUUGUGGGUCCGAUUCCCACUUCUUUAA
rnacentral:tRNA from 1 species